GCGCAUUCCUCUUUCUCCCCACGCCAAGAACCUCAGCCCCCCAGCUCUAAACCCGCCGGCGACCCCCCUUGCCGCCAUCCACCGCGCCCGUACGGCGGACGCCUUCUUCCUCCUCAACCAUGUAGGUAAAGGCUUAUCCUCCCGAACCCCAGCCAGACCUCCACCGGAGACCCUCCAGGCCGGCGGCCGGCGAACGGCGAAAUUAUUGGCUACUGGUACUCGGGAGCGCCUUUUCGGCAACAUCGGCGGCGACGAGCAUUUCCACCGACCGUAGGUGAGGCUGCCUUGCCGUCCCCGGUAAGAAAAAGAUCCCCUUUUCGCACCGAAAUCAGUCCCAGAUCCCGUCAACAGUAAACCCCAGCCGCCGCCGCCUCCUGCACCGGCACCGGCACCGGCGACGUCGGCGUCGGCGUCGGCUUCUUCCUAGUCAACAAGCAAAAGCAUUCCGUUUCCAUGGCCGCUGAUUUGGAAUGGAAAGCUGCCGAGAUCGUUGCCGUGCUUGGCUGGCUGCUCUCCCCCGUCAUCACCUUGCUCCUGCCCAAGGUCCUUGCCUGCCUCGGCUUCGACGCCUCGCAGAAGCUCCGGGAGCUGGAGAUCCACAUCAUCCCGGAGCUGAAGAAGACGGUGAGGGCCGUGGAUCAGGAGAGGAUGAUGCAGAGAGGGAAUAGAGUGAAAACCGAUUUGGACGCCCUGGACAAGAUGGCUGCCAUGCUGAGGCAUGCUCUUGAGGAUGCCGAAGACAUCUUCGACGAUUCCCAUGAGAAGAUUGUCGUCAGGUGCUGGCACCGGCUCCGCCGCGCUUUCGCCGUCUGCAUUGCUCUCUGCAAAAGCAGCUGCGUGUGGAUUGCAGGCGUCGUCCGGACAAAAUCAGCUCGGCUGCUGCAGUGGGCACGGGAAAGCUCCUUGUCUUUGUUCCUCCUACCCAGGUCAGAGGAGCCCAUUCCGGCGAAUAACAGUGCUGCAAUCACAAACAAGCCCAUUCCAGUGAUUAUUGAUAUUCCAGCCUCUGAUGUUGAGCCUGAUCCGGUGACUAGCAAUGCUGAGGCCUCUGGCAAUGAGAUCGUUCCGGUGACUGCUGGUGCUGCGGCCUCCAACGAGCCUAAUCAGGUGCCUAGCAGUUCUGAGGCCUCGAACAACGAGCCUGAUCCAGUGGCAACCAGUGUCGAGGCCUCCGAUGACAAGCCCGAUCCGGUGACUACAACCUCAGAUUCCUCAGGGCGGUGGCUCUCUUGCUUGUGCACCUCGUUUGACUUCUUCAAGAACUGUUGUGCAUCACUAUACAGCUGGUUAGCUCAUGUGUUUGAGGCUGCCUGCUUUUACAGAGACUGGUCAUACCAAGUGGUUGGCAUAAAAAAAUGUCAGGAGAAUGCCUCCUUAUUUGAUAUGUUAGAUGUAUUCUUUACUGCUAUGUCAAGAUUGAAAUUGAAGAAAAGGAUACAGCAGGUGGAAAACACCGUCAGUGAAGUGAACAAGUCACCACUCUUGGGUGUGGCAGGCAACAGCACACCAAAAGAUAUUGCCAACAAAAACAGGAGAGAACUUGGAGCUGCUAGCAAGCGGGAGGUAUUUGGUCGAGAGGCGUUGCGUGAUGAUAUCAUGGGAAGGCUGCGUGAGAUACCACAGGGUGAUGCACCAAGCUAUAGUCCAUGUUACUCUGUGAUUGGCAUCUAUGGCGUUGCAGGGUCUGGGAAGACUACCUUUGCAGGAUAUAUUCGAGAUUACAUAAAGGAGGAAUGCAAGGAGGAGAAACUUUUUGACACCAUCAUGUGUAUUCAUGUGUCGGAGACUUUCAGUGUGGAGGAUAUAUUUCAAGAAAUGCUGAAGGAUAUUAGCAAAGAUAGUCUCCCCAGUAUUUCAGAUCAUAGGGGACUAAACAAAAAGUUGAAGGAAGCAUUGCGUGGCAAACGUUUCUUGUUGAUAUUGGAUGAUCUCUGGGUGAAAAACAAGAAUGACCAACAACUGGAGGAACUAAUCUCUCCACUCAAUGUUGGGCUGAAAGGAAGCAAAAUCCUGGUGACGGCUCGAACAAAAGAAGCAGCUGGAGCUCUGUGUGCCGAUAAACUUAUUGAAAUGCCUGAUUUGGAUGAGGAUCAGUACUUGGCGAUGUUUAUGCAUUAUGCGCUAAGUGGUACAAGAGUUGCCCUUAAAGAAUUUGAACAAGUUGGGAGAGAUAUUGCCAAGAAACUACACGGGUCACCUAUUGCAGCAGUAACAGUUGCAGGACGGCUUGGGGCAAACCCAAAUAUCAGUUUUUGGAAAAAUGUUGCAAAGCUUGACAUGUUGAAUGACACCAUGGAUGCUCUUUGGUGGAGCUAUAAGCAGCUUAAUCCAGACAUAAGGCGAUGCUUUGAAUUCUGCAAUAUUUUCCCCAGAAGAUUCAAACUGGAAAAAGACCAAUUAGUCCACCUGUGGAUAGCACAAGGGUUUGUAAAGACUAGCUGUGCAAUAGAGGAGAUGGAAGAUGUAGCCGAGGGCUACAUUCAAGAAUUAGUGUCAUGCUCAUUUCUGCAACCAAAAGGAACUGAUUCAUUUGUAAUUCAUGAUCUGCUGCAUGAUUUAAUUGACAAAAUCGUCGGAAGUGGUUGCUUUAGAAUCAACAACGAAAGGAGCCAGAGAGGAGGCUGGAAAGGAGAUGUCCCUCGAGAUGUCCGACAUCUUUUUGUUCAGAAUUAUGAUGUAGAAUUGAUUACCGAGAAGAUCGUUCGAUUGGAAUAUUUACGCACUCUCAUCAUUGAUGUUGUUGAAGAGGAGACACCAGUUGAGGAAAAAGUCAUUGAAAGUAUAUGCAAGAGGCUGCCGAAAUUGCGGGUACUAGCCAUUGCUUUUAGCAAGAAACAUUGUGCAAUAAAAAAAACCAAGAAGUUCUCGGUCCCAAAGUCUAUUGCUCAGUUAAAGCACCUGCAUUAUCUUGCUUUCAGGACAAACUUGUCAUGCUCUGUAAUUUUACCAAGCGCACUAACUAAACUUCACCAUAUCCAGCGGCUAGAUUUUGCUGGUGGAGAAAUUUCGGAAUUCCCCUCUGCUGGCCUUAUGAACUUGCAGCACAUGAUUUGCGGAGUAAUGAAAAUCCCUAACUUGGGCAGGCUGAUCUCAUUGCAAACGCUACGAAGCUUCACAAUAUGGAAUAAAGAGGGUUAUGAGAUAAGGCAGCUGAGGGACCUAAACAAGCUUCGUGGAAGCCUGUGGAUCCAUGGCCUUGAAAAUGUCAAAAGCAAGGAGGAAGCUCUUCAAGCCAAUCUAGCUGCCAAGGAACGGCUCACAGAUCUGACGUUCAACUGGCGUGAUGAUACAAGGUGCAGCCCAGAAGUUGAAGCAGAUGUACUUGAGGGCCUGUGCCCUCCCGUGGGGCUUCAAAGACUUGAAAUAUAUGGAUACAGAGGUUCAAGGUAUCCAGAUUGGAUGGUGGGUAAGCAGAGCGGUGGCCCAGAGGGCCUGCGAAAUCUUUAUUUGAUAGCAUGCAGCCAACUGGGAACUGGUCCUGCAUUUGAGGCUUUCCCUCAUCUUCGUGUGCUCCGGAUUAGGGCCUGCAGCUGGGACUCCUUAACAGGCAACAUGGAGCGCCUCACGUUGCUCAAGAAACUGUAUAUCAUUGCUUGCAAGAAUAUCCGGUCGCUUCCAACACUGCCCCAGUCUAUUGAGGAAUUUUAUCUUUAUCACUGCAACGAUGAGUUGAUGAAGUCGUGUAGAACAGUGGGACAUCCAAACUGGCAAAAGAUUGAGCACAUCCCCAGGAAAUUUUAUCUAUAUUUUUGCAACGGUGAGCUUAUUUUUGUUAAUCCAUUUGCCGCUGUCUGACGUUUCAGAGAGCCAGUGAAGGGCGCCUGAUGGUCUUGAAUCAAUCAGGAGAGGCUUUAGGCAUCACAAGACGGCAAAGGACAUUUGAAUAGGCGUCGCUGUUAGCAGCAACCUCUCAUGCUGCCGAAGUCUCUGGACUAAAGCAGAGUCUGGAGCGGCCCGAGGAAGAACUCAGCCGUAUGAGGAAGGAGCUAGAGGGCCAGCAAGGGGCAGGGACUAAGGUCGAGGCCCUGAAGAAGGAGUUGGCCGAAGCCCAAGAAAAGGCGGCCGAGGAGCAAGCUGCCCGUGAGAAGCACGAGGCCCGGGUUUUGGAGGUCUAAAAGGAGCUCCAAGAUGCUGCUGAUAAGUGUGAGGCAUUGAAAGGCAAGAAUGCGGACCAAGAGGCCGAGCUCGCCAAGGUGCGUCAAAGCGGACAAGAUGCACGGCGCGAAGCCCAGGGAGCCCUCCAGGCGAUCCAAGAGGCGAAGAAGAUCGCGACGGGAGUAUUUGCGGAUCUGCCGCGCAGCGUUUCUGAUGCCGCGGAGUUCUUCCGAGCCGAAGAGGGGGGCUCAACGGAGAAGGUGUUCUGGUCGCAGUAUCUGGCGCCAGAGCAUCCGGUGCCCCUGACCGAUCAGCUGAAACAGCCGGUCGAACUGCAUGGGGCGGCCGAACGAGCCAUGAAGGAUUUAAGAAUCCGACUGUGGCCUGCCGAAGCAAUCCCGAGUGUCGCUUGAGUUGCUAAGUACUCCCUCCGUUUCUUUUUACUCCGCAUAUAAGAUUUGGUCAAAGUCAAACUACACAAAGUUUGACCAAAUUUAUAUAAAAAUUAUGAACAUCUACAAUACUAAAACUAUAUAAUAUGAAAAUACGUUUCAUGGUGCAUC